GGGGAUACAGUCCAUCUUCUCCUGUUUUCACCCCAGAGAAAGGAUAUAGCCCUCUUUCUCCAUCAUACAGCCCUGCAUCGCCAAGCUAUAGUCCCACCUCACCAUCAUAUACACCUGGCUCUCCCACCUACAGUCCCACAAGCCCGAAUUACUCCCCAACAAGUCCGACUUACUCGCCUACCAGUCCAUCAUACUCACCCACAUCUCCGAGUUACAGCCCAACAUCUCCUAGCUACAGUCCUACAUCACCAAGCUACAGCCCUACAUCUCCUAGUUAUAGUCCUACAUCACCAAGUUACAGCCCCACCUCACCAGUUUAUAGCCCUACAUCUCCAGCAUACAGCCCUACAUCUCCCGCAUAUAGCCCCACAUCACCAUCUUACAGUCCAACUUCGCCAUCUUAUAGCCCUACAUCACCAUCAUACAGCCCAACAUCCCCCUCAUACAGCCCUACCUCCCCCUCAUACAGCCCUACCUCCCCCUCAUACAGCCCUACCUCCCCCUCGUACAGCCCAACAUCACCUGCAUACAGCCCUACUUCGCCAGGAUACAGCCCAACAUCACCGAGCUACAGUCCUACUUCUCCGAGCUACAGUCCUACUUCUCCGAGCUACAAUCCUUCAUCAGCCAAGUACAGCCCUUCGCAUGCAUACUCUCCAAGCAGCCCCCGGAUGACUCCAUAUAGUCAGACUUCUCCAAGCUACAG
rnacentral:lncRNA from 1 species